GCCUGGCUAGCUCAAUCGGUAGAGCGUGAGACUCUUACGCAAGAGAAUUACGUAAUCCAUCUCAAGGUUGUGGGUUCGACCCCCACGUUAGGCU